ACCCCAACUGUGUCAACCACUCCAACAACAGCGCUGACUGGCUUAAAAAGUACUUUGGGCUGUUUGUUGGUUUUGCGCCCCUAGAAGAACUCAAACGACUGCAUGGAAACUUCUCAGUGGUUGGUACUAGUUCAUGAUUUUGACCUUUUGAACUUACGGAUUCAUCCAAUAGUCAUUUGUAACCAGUUUGAAUCCAUGUUCUUAUUCCACUGUGUAGAUGGAUGUCCUGCCUAUGCUGAGCCCCAGGCAGCUGAGGGAGGUGGCCUCCACCCCUGGUGAGCUCAGAAACCUUGGAGAUGUCCACAUGAUACUGAUUCAUGUGCUUCCCAGAGAUCUGGGCGAGUUCUUUGACAUCGUUUCUCCAGCUGUUGAGGGUCUUCACCUUCCGGUGGAUGUGCGUCAGGUGCUGCUCCAGCAGGUGUUUGACAAUGCCAACCUAUCAGAUCCCUCCAUCAAAGACCCUGAGGUGCUGGUGUGGUUGGGCCAGAGACUCCGCCCACUUUUACCAAACCUAACAGAGGAGCAUGUGGCCCCCCUCUUCAACAUCGUCAGACACAGAGACUGCAACACCAGCCAAGAAACAGUGGUGUUGCUGAACUAUAUCCUACCAUCACUGUCCAACGGCACACAUGCUGCUGUCCAGCAUCAAAUAAUCAUCCCUCUCAGAGAAUCAACUCCACUACGUUGCUAUAGGAACAACAGCUUCUUUAUGUUCCUGAGACAAUCUUUCCUCAACUUUACAUUCCCAAAGUUGACCAACUUCCUCUCCCUUAUUCCACCACAGCGGGAAUCUGAGCUGCUCAACACCAUGCAUCCCUCAGACCUCAGCACCAUCCUCAGGAAGCCAGAGGUGGUGGACAACAAGACUAAGCUCUGCACAAUCUUCCGAAACUACAAAAAACAAAAAAACUCCAGAGUUCUGGAAACCAAUCUUCCGGAUGAUGUGAAGCGUCCAGUCCUGCCCUGCGUCUGGCCUUUGGCUCUGGCCACUGAUGACAAGGCUGAGGUUGACCGCUGGUUUGACAACAGACUGAGGAACUACCUGAAGUUCCUCAACAGAAACCUGCUCCAGUCCUCUGACACACUCAAUGCCUCCUGCUUACCCUUCAGGAGACUUGUGUAUCUACUGGGAUCCAAGCUCACUUUCAAUGGCUCAGCCAUAACUCAAGAUGAUGCGUACAGCACCAUAAAGACCUACCUCAACACAGGAAAUAAACAAUACCGACAGUCUAAUAAACCUGGGCUCUAUAGUGGGAGGUCUUCCAACCCAAACACUCACCGCAAUACCCGAGCAGCAGGUUCUGACAACAUCCGCCUACCCAAAAUGUGUUACCAACAUGCUGACUGCUCCAACAAUUGUGCAGCAGAUCUAUGUUAA
rnacentral:lncRNA from 13 species